AGUACCUGGCUACGAACCAGGCGGUCAGAGGUUCGAAUCCUCUCGGACGCGCCA
rnacentral:tRNA from 2 species